UACGGGAGGGUGCAAGCGUUAUCCGGAUUCGACUGGGUUUAAAGGGUGCGUAGGUGGGCAGGUAAGUCCGUGGUGAAAUCGUCUGAGCUUAACUCAGAAACUGCCGUGGAUACUAUCUGUCUUGAAUAUUGGUGGAGGUAAGCGGAAUAAUGUCAUGUAGCGGUGAAAUGCUUAGAUAUGACAUAGAACACCAAUUGCGAAAGGCAGCUUACUACGACAGUAAUUGACGCUGAGGCACGAAAGCGUGGGGAUCAAAACAGG
rnacentral:rRNA from 1 species